AGGAGCGAUCUUACCAGCACUAUUGUACUGGAUCCCAUCAGAACUUCGCGAUGGAGCGUUCUUGGGUGAGAGUAGUACUAGGAUGGGUGACCUCCUGAGAAGUCCUUGUGUUGCACUUC
rnacentral:rRNA from 2 species